GACUUCAGUACAAAAAAUACAUGGAAUACAAUCGCAAAUUUGAACUUCAAUAACAAAUUUUGAUUGAAAAGAAACGUCCAGAAUAUCUAAAAUUGAAUUCAGUUAAAUUCUCAAAUUGAGUCAUGAAAAGAAAAAAUCUAGAAAGGUAUAAAGCACGGGGACACCUGCUAGGUGGUGUCCCCUGUUUCCGGUACUGCAUGAGGAUGGGGACGGAACAGGGUGGCAAGGGAACGUCCCGGGAAUGACGUCAAUUUCUUGGGUACAGCUGGCCGUCGGGGGGACGUAUUGGGGACGACUACAUGCACGUCCCCAACAUCCAAAAUUAAAAAAGAAAACAUAUAAAAGAGGAAAGAAAAGAACCAACAGAAAAUUUAUGGAUUCCUUGCUCCUCUCUUUUACUUUGUCUCCUCGAGUCCUCAUUGGGUAGUCACCACCAACGAACCAGAGAGCCAAACAGGUAUGAUCUCCCUUUCCUCUAUCGGUCCCUCGCUUUCUUCUGCCAUUCUCUUAAUCACUACACGAAAUCAACAAACCCCAAACCUUAAUCACUCCAAGCAAUAGAAUAGAAAAAAAGGAACGUUUUGCCCAUAGUUUCCUUCGCUUGGAGUGAUCAUAUGUUAUUCUCUUAAUAAAACACAUAGAAAAGAAAAAAAAG
rnacentral:lncRNA from 1 species